UGGAUCAGAGAAUUAGCUAGAGCCAACCUCUCUGGUGAGGUAAUCCCAGACAGCAGUUGGUUUCCAACUGCUUCGAUCAGCUCUCUCGACUCUCUCUCCAAAGUUCUGUGUUCCUUUUUUUGCCCAUCCCUCCAUUGCUGUAGACUCCUGCAGCUCUUCCAAGUUUGUUUUCCUUCCAAGAUCUCAAGCCUUAGGGAUAAAUUACCUCAGCAAUGUAGUCUUUGAUAAACCCAAAGAUCCCAGAACAAGAACUCACUAUUUGACAAAAACUGCUGGGAAAACAACAAUUUAAUCACCAGAAGCUUAUACAUCCCACUUAUCCCUAAGUGGAGGAGGUCUGUGAAAAUGGGUGAAGAAUCAGAACCCACUGACCCCCGGGCAAUGCUAAGAAAAUUUGUAGACUAUAAUUGGUCCAUGUAAAGUAGAGGAAGACACAGGAAGUGACCAAAAAGAAGCAUCUUUAAAAGGAGUUACAACUUCCUAUGAGGGAGUUCUUUGUUCUUCAGAGUUUGGAGUUCAAGUUGGCUGAUGAAGAAUCUGCUUACUGGACCUGUGACCUUGGACUUGAAAGAUCAGAAGAGGAUAUUCAUUGAGAAUUCCAAAUUGGAAAGAUUCCUGGAUUUCGAGUCUGGAGAGCCAAGAUUAUGGAGUAUGCGGACUUCUUCUGGAACAUAACAUUCAAGGGGUAUUCAAGGAGGAGACACACACAAUUUUACACUAGACAAUGUGUAAAGGAGGUGAUAGAGCAAAUGAGGGGGACAGUUGUAACUCAGCUUUGAGGUCACUGAGCAUUGAAGGAAAAAUAUUUUAUCAAAGAAUUUGUCUCUCCAUUGUUAUUCCAAUACAACUGAGUCAAUACAAAUUCUCCUUUGUAACACACUUUGUUGCAAUUGUACUUGAGU